AAGUCAUAACAAGGUUUCCGUAGGUGAACCUGCGGAAGGAUCAUUAAUAGUGCUCAUUGACGCAAGUCAGUGAGUUAGAUCUGCUCUCUUCGCAAGAAGAGGGUUUCCAUACACACCGUGAACUGUGGCUUCGGCCAUCACAAACUGUUAGUAAUGAAUGUAAUAUCAUAACAAAAACAAAACUUUUAACAACGGAUCUCUUGGCUCUC
rnacentral:misc_RNA from 1 species